GAGUUACGCCUCACACAAGUUCAGCACUGCUGCUGUACCUUGUGUUGCGCUGCUGUCGUGGUUGGCUUGUUUGCCCAUGUUGUCAUUGCUAACUUGUUGCCUUGUUGCUGCCAUUGUUGGUAUUCCUUUCCAUAUGAAGGGUUCAUUGUUAGUGAUUUUGCAGGGUUGAUGUCGAGGUCGUGGAAUAUGAUUAUUGAUCAAGAAGAAGAGUUUUAUGUUAUGAAAUGGUGGGCUGAGGUAAAGUUAGAUGUUUUGUUUCAAAGUAUUCGUAAUCUGUUAUUUGAUUUUCAAGUUGUUAUAUUGUGGGCCCCUGACCCACAGAUCCAGGAUCGUUUUUAUAGGUUUAGUUUCCGCUGUAAAUAAAUGCAAAUUCGAGGUAUGUUAAGUGUUGAUUUUGUUUUGUGUA